rnacentral:rRNA from 1 species
AGUCUGACGGAGCAACGCCGCGUGAGUGACGAAGGUUUUCGGAUCGUAAAACUCUGUUGUGAGGGAAGAACAAGUACCAACUAACUACUGGUACCUUGACGGUACCUCACCAGAAAGCCACGGCUAACUACGUGCCAGCAGCCGCGGUAAUACGUAGGUGGCAAGCGUUGUCCGGAAUUAUUGGGCGUAAAGCGCGCGCAGGCGGUCCCUUAAGUCUGAUGUGAAAGCCCACGGCUCAACCGUGGAGGGUCAUUGGAAACUGGGGGACUUGAGUGCAGAAGAGGAAAGUGGAAUUCCAUGUGUAGCGGUGAAAUGCGUAGAGAUGUGGAGGAACACCAGUGGCGAAGGCGACUUUCUGGUCUGUAACUGACGCUGAGGCGCGAAAGCGUGGGGAGCAAACAGGAUUAGAUACCCUGGUAGUCCACGCCGUAAACGAUGAGUGCUAAGUGUUAGGGGGUUUCCGCCCCUUAGUGCUGCAGCUAACGCAUUAAGCACUCCGCCUGG